rnacentral:tRNA from 1 species
CUGCCCGUGGCACAGCCGGAUAGUGCGCAAGACUCCGACUCUUGAGGUCAUAGGUUCAACUCCUAUCGGGCAGGCCA